rnacentral:misc_RNA from 1 species
GAUGAAGAACGUAGCGAAAUGCGAUAAGUAAUGUGAAUUGCAGAAUUCAGUGAAUCAUCGAAUCUUUGAACGCACAUUGCGCCCGCCAGUAUUCUGGCGGGCAUGCCUGUUCGAGCGUCAUUUCAACCAUCAAGCCCCCGGCUUGUGUUGGGGACCUGCGGCUGCCGCAGGCCCUGAAAAGCAGUGGCGGGCUCGCUGUCACACCGAGCGUAGUAGAUUUUAUCUCGCUCUGGGCGUGCUGCGGGUUCCGGCCGUUAAACCACCCUUUUAACCCAAGGUUGACCUCGGAUCAGGUAGGAAGACCCGCUGAACUUAAGCAUAUCAAUAAGCGGAGGA